GGAUAACGUUUGGAAACGAACGCUAAUACCGCAUGAUAUUAUUGAGCUGCAUGGCUUGAUAAUCAAAGGAGCAAUCCGCUGAAAGAUGGGCUCGCGUCCGAUUAGGUAGUUGGCGGGGCAACGGCCCACCAAGCCGACGAUCGGUAGCCGGACUGAGAGGUUGAACGGCCACAUUGGGACUGAGACACGGCCCAGACUCCUACGGGAGGCAGCAGUGAGGGAUAUUGGUCAAUGGGGGAAACCCUGAACCAGCAACGCCGCGUGAGGGAAGACGGUUUUCGGAUUGUAAACCUCUGUCCUCUGUGAAGAUAAUGACGGUAGCAGAGGAGGAAGCUCCGGCUAACUACGUGCCAGCAGCCGCGGUAAUACGUAGGGAGCAAGCGUUGUCCGGAUUUACUGGGUGUAAAGGGUGCGUAGGCGGCUUUGCAAGUCAGAAGUGAAAUCCAUGGGCUUAACCCAUGAACUGCUUUUGAAACUGCAGAGCUUGAGUGGAGUAGAGGUAGGCGGAAUUCCCGGUGUAGCGGUGAAAUGCGUAGAGAUCGGGAGGAACACCAGUGGCGAAGGCGGCCUGCUGGGCUCUAACUGACGCUGAGGCACGAAAGCGUGGGUAGCAAACAGGAUUAGAUACCCUGGUAGUCCACGCUGUAAACGGUGAUUACUAGGUGUGGGUGGACUGACCCCAUCCGUGCCGGAG
rnacentral:rRNA from 1 species